rnacentral:misc_RNA from 1 species
AUCUUCAUCUUCAUCUUCGUCUUCGUCCACGUCAACUUUGUUCUCCUGGGCGUGUGGAGAAGAAUCAGUAAUAGAGAGUUUUUGCUUCUUGUUUACAUCGUCUUCGUGGGCAUUGGCAAUGGCAAUGGCUUCUUCUGCUUGGGGCUUUCUUUUUAGGGGGAAUAUAUCUUCUUCUUCAGCCAUUUUGUUUUCAGAGGAACACCAACACCAAAAACUAGGGUUUUACUAACUG